rnacentral:lncRNA from 13 species
AGAGUGAGAAGCAAGCAGGCUGGGAUCUGGUUCAAGAAAGUUCUGAAUGAUAAAAUAAUGCACCUAAUGCUAACACGAGUCCGCACCGAGAGAAAAUAAUCAUUCUAUUGUACUGGCUCUUUGUGCAUAGAAUUUAAGGACAGGAACUGCUCUUAUCCUUCAGGGAAAAAGAAAUCUCGUUCAAAUCAUCUUAUGAAGAGAACUAUCGGUUACAGGCAGCACUUUUCAAUUGUGACCUUUUUAUUUAAUUCUAAAAUUAUUUGGUUAAGGUCUAUCUCUUAUUAGACACCAUGAAGAUAAGUAUGACAUCUCUUUCACUCACAGCAUAUCCAGACUAUUUUUGUACAGUUCUG